AGUCGCCACGGUAAUACAGAGGGUGCAAGCGUUAAUCGGAAUUACUGGGCGUAAAGCGCGCGUAGGUGGUUUGUUAAGUUGGAUGUGAAAUCCCCGGGCUCAACCUGGGAACUGCAUCCAAAACUGGCAAGCUAGAGUAUGGUAGAGGGUGGUGGAAUUUCCUGUGUAGCGGUGAAAUGCGUAGAUAUAGGAAGGAACACCAGUGGCGAAGGCGACCACCUGGACUGAUACUGACACUGAGGUGCGAAAGCGUGGGGAGCAAACAGGAUUAGAGACCCCGGUAGUCCCUGUCUCUUAUACA
rnacentral:rRNA from 1 species